UACAGAGGUCUCAACCGUUGUUCGGAUUCAUUGGGCGUAAAGGGUGCGUAGGCGGUCGCGUAAGUCAGGUGUGAAAUCCUAGGGCUCAACCCUGGAACUGCACUUGAUACUGCGUGGCUAGGGUACUGGAGAGGAGACUGGAAUUUACGGUGUAGCAGUGAAAUGCGUAGAUAUCGUAAGGAAGACCAGUGGCGAAGGCGAGUCUCUGGACAGUUACCGACGCUGAGGCACGAAGGCCAGGGGAGCAAACGGG
rnacentral:rRNA from 1 species